AGAGUUUGAUCCUGGCUCAGAACGAACGCUGGCGGCGUGGAUAAGACAUGCAAGUCGAACGAGAGAAUUGCUAGCUUGCUAAUAAUUCUCUAGUGGCGCACGGGUGAGUAACACGUGAGUAACCUGCCCCCGAGAGCGGGAUAGCCCUGGGAAACUGGGAUUAAUACCGCAUAGUAUCGAAAGAUUAAAGCAGCAAUGCGCUUGGGGAUGGGCUCGCGGCCUAUUAGUUAGUUGGUGAGGUAACGGCUCACCAAGGCGAUGACGGGUAGCCGGUCUGAGAGGAUGUCCGGCCACACUGGAACUGAGACACGGUCCAGACACCUACGGGUGGCAGCAGUCGAGAAUCAUUCACAAUGGGGGAAACCCUGAUGGUGCGACGCCGCGUGGGGGAAUGAAGGUCUUCGGAUUGUAAACCCCUGUCAUGUGGGAGCAAAUUAAAAAGAUAGUACCACAAGAGGAAGAGACGGCUAACUCUGUGCCAGCAGCCGCGGUAAUACAGAGGUCUCAAGCGUUGUUCGGAAUCACUGGGCGUAAAGCGUGCGUAGGCUGUUUCGUAAGUCGUGUGUGAAAGGCGCGGGCUCAACCCGCGGACGGCACAUGAUACUGCGAGACUAGAGUAAUGGAGGGGGAACCGGAAUUCUCGGUGUAGCAGUGAAAUGCGUAGAUAUCGAGAGGAACACUCGUGGCGAAGGCGGGUUCCUGGACAUUAACUGACGCUGAGGCGCGAAGGCCAGGGGAGCGAAAGGGAUUAGAUACCCCUGUAGUCCUGGCAGUAAACGGUGCACGCUUGGUGUGCGGGGAAUCGACCCCCUGCGUGCCGGAGCUAACGCGUUAAGCGUGCCGCCUGGGGAGUACGGUCGCAAGAUUAAAACUCAAAGAAAUUGACGGGGACCCGCACAAGCGGUGGAGUAUGUGGCUUAAUUCGAUGCAACGCGAAGAACCUUACCUGGGCUUGACAUGUAAUGAACAACAUGUGAAAGCAUGCGACUCUUCGGAGGCGUUACACAGGUGCUGCAUGGCCGUCGUCAGCUCGUGUCGUGAGAUGUUUGGUUAAGUCCAGCAACGAGCGCAACCCCUGCUGCCAGUUACCAGCACGUGAAGGUGGGGACUCUGGCGAGACUGCCCAGAUCAACUGGGAGGAAGGUGGGGACGACGUCAGGUCAGUAUGGCCCUUAUGCCCAGGGCUGCACACGUACUACAAUGCCCAGUACAGAGGGGGCCGAAGCCGCGAGGCGGAGGAAAUCCUAAAAACUGGGCCCAGUUCGGACUGUAGGCUGCAACCCGCCUACACGAAGCCGGAAUCGCUAGUAAUGGCGCAUCAGCUACGGCGCCGUGAAUACGUUCCCGGGUCUUGCACACACCGCCCGUCA
rnacentral:rRNA from 1 species